UUAAGUUCAGCGGGUAGUCUUGCUUGAUUUGAUGCCAAAUUAAAAAGAUAGAUUUAAUGUCCAAUCCGUCCUAGGCCCAAGAAUGCUUAGCACUCGGACUAGUCCAAACUGACCAUCCUCUAGCUCUGUUUAAACUCGGUCAACAAAGACACGAGUCAAAUCGCAUUGCUGCAGAAGAGUACGGCACUCAAACAAACAUG
rnacentral:misc_RNA from 1 species